GACGAACGCUGGCGGCGUGCCUAAUACAUGCCAGUCGAGCGAAGUUUUUCUGGUGCUUGCACUAGAAAAACUUAGCGGCGAACGGGUGAGUAACACGUAAAGAACCUGCCUCAUAGACUGGGACAACUAUUGGAAACGAUAGCUAAUACCGGAUAACAGUAUUUCUCGCAUGAGAGAUAUUUAAAAGUUGGUUAUGCUAACACUAUGAGAUGGCUUUGCGGUGCAUUAGCUAGUUGGUGGGGUAAAGGCCCACCAAGGCGACGAUGCAUAGCCGACCUGAGUGGGUGAUCGGCCACACGGGGACUGAGACACGGCCCAGACUCCUACGGGAGGCAGCAGUAGGGAAUCUUCCGCAAUGGGCGAAAGCCUGACGGAGCAACGCCGCGUGAGUGAAGAAGGAUUUCGGUUCGUAAAGCUCUGUUGUUAGGGAAGAAUGGAUAUGUAGUAACUAUACAUGUAAGAGACGGUACCUAACCAGAAAGCCACGGCUAACUACGUG
rnacentral:rRNA from 1 species